rnacentral:rRNA from 1 species
CUCUGGCUGGGCGGUCCACCUUUGGAUGGUACUGCUCUGGCUGGGGUUUACCUUUCUGGUGAGCCGCCAUGCCCUUUGCUGGGUGUGGCGGGGAACCAGGACUUUUACCUUGAAAAAAUUAGAGUGUUUAAAGCAGGCCAAUUGCUUGAAUACAUUAGCAUGGAAUAAUGGAAUAGGACGUGCGGUUCUAUUUUGUUGGUUUCUAGAGUCGCCGUA